CAACGAUGAGUAGCCGGUCUGAGAGGAUGAUCGGCCACACUGGAACUGAUACACGGUCCAGACUCCUACGGGAGGCAGCAGUGGGGAAUAUUGCGCAAUGGGCGAAAGCCUGACGCAGCAACGUCGUGUGAGGGAUGAAGGCUUUCGGGUCGUAAACCUCUGUCAUAAGGGAAGAACAGGAAUUGGUCUAAUAGGCCUUCGUUUUGACGGUACCUUCAGAGGAAGCACCGGCUAACUCCGUGCCAGCAGCCGCUGUAAUACGGAGGGGGCAAGCGUUAUUCGGAAUUACUGGGCGUAAAGAGCACGUAGGCGGCCUUGUAAGUCAGGGGUGAAAUCCCACGGCUCAACCGUGGAACUGCCUUUGAAACUGCAGGGCUUGAAUCCUGGAGAGGGUGGCGGAAUUCCUGGUGUAGAAGUGAAAUCCGUAGAUAUCAGGAGGAACACCUGUGGCGAACGCAGCCACCUGGACAGGUAUUGACACUGAGGUGCGAAAGUGUGGGGAGCAAACAGGAUUAGAUACCCUGGUAGUCCACACCGUAAACGAUGGAUACUAGAUGUCGGACAAA
rnacentral:rRNA from 1 species